UAUUAUAGAUGUAAAAAAAUCAGCAAAGAAACAAUAAUCCUAAAUGGCUCACUGGAUAAGAUGGAACUAAUUGACAUCUUCAGAA